CCCCCGACCUCAGUAUUGUUCGUACUCUUCGCUUACUGAACUCCCCAUCUCUACAUUUUAGUGUUUUUGUUAGGGUUUCUUCUUUCGUUAUUUGUAUGUUCAAUUCCUUCGUAUUUCAUUUACUGAAUGGAAGAAGGUAAAUGGAGUGAAUGCCAAUUUGCAGAGCAAGGGCGUCUUUGAUUUAAUGGCGUGAAUUGCAUUGAAGGGUUUCUAUAGUUGCAUUGAAUUUAGAAACGAGAUGGAUUAGUGGACGAAAGCGAAUAUGUGGAUUUUCUCUUUAUCAAGACUCAUAUCAUGAUGAUCGUCUAAUUAUACUCAAAUGAUCUCUUCAUUGUGGAGGAUGUGGAAGAAAAUGACGUGCGAAAGAAGUGGUCUUUUUGAAAUGCAAACAGACAAUUGAAAUUGAAAUUUGUAUAUAGAUUCAGAAUACAUUUCAUAAAUUGCAAAAUGGAGAUCUAACAAAAAUAUGAGUAGUAAAUCAAUCUGAAAGGGUAUGGUUUCGUA